UUGUGCUAAGCGGGGAGCUAGCGGUGCCCUUAUCCCGAAAUCCGCUUCAUGCGGGGCUGAAUUCCCUCCUUGAGGGUUCAAGGCUAAGGUCGAGCAAACCAUUUUGAUCGGACGCCGCGCAACAGACGGUCACGAACCUCGUCAGGUCCGGGAGGAAGCAGCGAUAAGUGAUGCAGGCUGUGUCGUGGAUCGAUCCCGAUCAUGUAUAAUGGUUUCAGUAUCUUAGCAACGGAUUCGAAUGGAGGGUGCACAA
rnacentral:SRP_RNA from 1 species